rnacentral:rRNA from 1 species
CUACGGGUUGCUGCAGUGAGGAAUAUUGCACAAUGGGGGGAACCCUGAUGCAGCAACGCCGCGUGGAGGAUGACGCAUUUCGGUGUGUAGACUCCUUUUAUAUGUCAAGAAAAUGACGGUAGCAUAUGAAUAAGCACCGGCUAACUCCGUGCCAGCAGCCGCGGUAAUACGGAGGGUGCAAGCGUUACUCGGAAUCACUGGGCGUAAAGGACGCGUAGGCGGGAUAUCAAGUCAGGUGUGAAAUCCUACAGCUUAACUGUAGAACUGCACUUGAAACUGGUAACCUAGAGUAUGGGAGGGGGAGAUGGAAUUAGUGGUGUAGGGGUAAAAUCCGUAGAUAUCACUAGGAAUACCUAAAGCGAAGGCGAUCUCCUGGAACAUAACUGACGCUAAGGCGUGAAAGCGUGGGGAGCAAACAGGAUUAGAUACCCGUGUAGUC